CAGUAGCCGCGGGAAUACGGAGGGUGCAAGCGUUAAUCGGAAUUACUGGACGUAAAGCGCACGCAGGCGGUCUGACAAGUCAGAUGUGAAAUCCCCGGGCUUAACCUGGGAACUGCAUUUGAAACUGUCAGGCUGGAGUCUUGUAGAGGGGGGUAGAAUUCCAGGUGUAGCGGUGAAAUGCGUAGAGAUCUGGAGGAAUACCGGUGGCGAAGGCGGCCCCCUGGACAAAGACUGACGCUCAGGUGCGAAAGCGUGGGGAGCAAACAGGAUUAGAUACCCCAGUAGUCCCUGUCUCUUAUAC
rnacentral:rRNA from 1 species